rnacentral:misc_RNA from 1 species
UGUUGGGAAAUCAAAUUUGCUUGCUAGAUUUGCUCGUGAUGAAUUCUAUCCCAACUCAAAAUCAACAAUUGGAGUAGAGUUCCAGACCCAAAAGCUGGACAUAAAUGGGAAGGAGGUCAAAGCGCAGAUAUGGGACACAGCAGGUCAAGAACGGUUUAGGGCAGUAACUUCUGCAUAUUACAGAGGUGCAGUUGGAGCUCUUCUGGUUUAUGAUAUUAGUAGACGGCUAACUUUCGAAAAUAUUGGUCGAUGGCUUAAUGAACUUCAGACUCAUUCUGACAUGAACGUGGUUACAAUACUCGUUGGAAAUAAAUCUGAUCUCAAAGAUGCGAGGGAGGUGACAACAGCUGAAGGCAAAUCCCUAGCAGAGGCACAAGGUCUAUUCUUUAUAGAAACAUCAGCUUUGGAUUCUUCAAAUGUAACUGCAGCUUUUCAAACAGUUGUUAAAGAGAUCUAUAAUAUCUUGAGCCGGAAAGUCAUGCAAUCGCAAGAACUUCAAAAAAAGGAUUCCGGGCGUCUGGCAAAUGGUAAAACUGUGGUUUUGCAGGCAGACGAAAACCAAGAAGCCGAGACACAAGCGAAAAAAGGUGGGUGCUGUUCAUCAUAAUCCCUGUUGUAAUUCUUUUGCUGUUGUUGCUUUUGAAAUAUUAUGGGGGGAAAAACAAACAAGUUUAGAUUGAUUUCUGUGCUAUGGGAAAACAAACUUCCAUUAGAAGGAAAAAAAAAAUGUAAAUUAUUCUAAGUGGAGAAGAACCCUUUUUUGAGCUG